rnacentral:pre_miRNA from 1 species
UGCUUCAUCUACUAGGUUAGCUGGAACAGCUAGCUCUAGCUGAUGUAGCAAA